ensembl:lncRNA
AAAAAAAAGUUUUUCUUUCAGUGAGGGGGUGGAGUUGAAGUGUUAGAAAUCCAGGCCAAAGGAUUACUUCACAUUUCUUCUAAGGAAUUAAACCUUUUUUUUCUUUUUUUCUUUUUUUUAAAAAAAAAGUCUAUUUUGUAUUACUCAGCAGUUCUUUUUUGCUUUUUAUUCUUCUAUGGAAAGUUCUCUUUUUUUUUUUUUUUUCCCUAAUAAAGUGUUUAUUACACAGUCCUGCACACUCACAUGUACACACGCGUACACACAAAUGACAGAGCUCUUUAUAAAGAGAAAAUCAGGCUGGCGCUGCAAAAGUGCAGAGAAGAUCUUUCGCUAAAAUGAUCUCAAGAUGCAGCUGCUGAAAAACAAAUGGAGGUCAGCAGCAGCUGAAGGCCUGUGUUGGUUGAACAAUCUGCUGAGGACUGUUCCAGGACCGUCCAGAGAAAAUAAUAAGUUGCUGCCUGCCCUCUUCCUGGUGGUAUAUGUAUCAGGCAGAGAUGUGUUAAUCAGCUUUAUGAAGUUUGACCGUAGCGAGCCUCCUGCCUGUAUUCAGUCAAUCAGCGUUCGGCCUGAUGGUGCAGUUCUCCUCUUCUCUGUUCCACUGGUUGAGUUCAUUGUUCCAAUAUCCUUGGUGGAGUCGUCCGGGAAGGGAUCUGCACGAGGUCAGAGUGCCUCUGUUUCAUCCUUCUCGUAA